rnacentral:rRNA from 1 species
GACGUAGGGCGCGAGCGUUGUCCGGAUUUAUUGGGCGUAAAGAGCUCGUAGGCGGCUUGUCGCGUCGACUGUGAAAUCCCGCGGCUCAACUGCGGGUCUGCAGUCGAUACGGGCAGGCGUAGAGUUCGGUGAGGGAGACUGGAAUUCCUGGUGUAGCGGUGAAAUGCGCAGAUAUGCCAUAGAACACCGAUUGCGAAGGCAGCUUGCUGGACCUGUAUUGACGCUGGAGGCACGAAAGCGUGGGAGCAAACAGG